UGGGGAAUUUUGGGCAAUGGGCGAAAGCCUGAUCCAGCAAUGCCGCGUGUGUGAAGAAGGCCUUCGGGUUGUAAAGCACUUUUGUCCGGAAAGAAAUCCUUGGCUCUAAUACAGUCGGGGGGAUGACGGUACCGGAAGAAUAAGCACCGGCUAACUACGUGCCAGCAGCCGCGGUAAUACGUAGGGUGCAAGCGUUAAUCGGAAUUACUGGGCGUAAAGCGUGCGCAGGCGGUUUGCUAAGACCGAUGUGAAAUCCCCGGGCUCAACCUGGGAACUGCAUUGGUGACUGGCAGGCUAGAGUAUGGCAGAGGGGGGUAGAAUUCCACGUGUAGCAGUGAAAUGCGUAGAGAUGUGGAGGAAUACCGAUGGCGAAGGCAGCCCCCUGGGCCAAUACUGACGCUCAUGCACGAAAGCGUGGGGAGCAAAACAGGAUUAGAUACCCUGGUAGUCCACGCCCUAAACGAUGUCAACUAGUUGUUGGGGAUUCAUUUCCUUAGUAACGUAGCUAACGCGUGAAGUUGACCGCCUGGGGAGUACGGUCGCAAGAUUAAAACUCAAA
rnacentral:rRNA from 1 species